rnacentral:lncRNA from 1 species
UUGGAUACGAUUAUUAAAAUUUUGAUAUCCAGUUAUCCGAAUAAGCGAAUAGACAUUUAAAAAAAUAAAAAUUAAAGACAUAACUCUCAAGCCUUACCCACUCACUCUGCUCUCGCCUCUCUCAGUCUCUAGCCUUUGCCAACUGCCCAAUCCUAACCAAAAUCCACUCCGGCUUAAAGGUUAUCCCAAUCUAAGUCUAGAUGUUGUAGAAGGUAUUUGCCAAGUGCUAGCUCAUACGUGGUUGGAUUCUGAGAUUAUGGCUGGAUCAGGCUCUGGUAGUAAUGUUGCCUUAACUUCGUUGUCGUCGUUUGCAUCAUCGUCAUCCUCUGGUCCCACAUCGUCGAAGAAGGGUAAACGGUCAGUUUGAAAAGAAACUUGGCGACUUUUUCAAACACCAGAUUGAAUCAGAUACCUCAAAUGCUUAUGGAGAUGGAUUCAGAGAAGGUAACAAGGCAGUGCUCAAGUAUGGCCUCAACAUACUUAAAAUUAGGAAGCUUAUGGGUUUGGACAUUUUAAUGUUUUUCUUCUGUUUUUGCCAAAGUUUGUCAUAGCAGAUAAGUUAGUAGAUUUUAUGAACUUAAUUUCGGUUAUUAACCGAAAUAAUCAAAUUUUCAUAGCAAAUAAGUUAGUAGAUUUUAUGAACUUAAUUUCGGUUAUUAACCGAAAUAAUCAAAUUA